rnacentral:rRNA from 1 species
AGUGAACGCUGGCGGUAGGCCUAACACAUGCAAGUCGAACGGCAGCACAGUAAGAGCUUGCUCUUACGGGUGGCGAGUGGCGGACGGGUGAGGAAUACAUCGGAAUCUACUUUUUCGUGGGGGAUAACGUAGGGAAACUUACGCUAAUACCGCAUACGACCUACGGGUGAAAGCAGGGGAUCUUCGGACCUUGCGCGAUUGAAUGAGCCGAUGUCGGAUUAGCUAGUUGGCGGGGUAAAGGCCCACCAAGGCGACGAUCCGUAGCUGGUCUGAGAGGAUGAUCAGCCACAAUGGAAAUGAGACACGGUCCAGACUCCUACGGGAGGCAGCAGUGGGGAAUAUUGGAAAAUGGGCGCAAGCCUGAUCCAGCCAUACCGCGUGGGUGAAGAAGGCCUUCGGGUUGUAAAGCCCUUUUGUUGGGAAAGAAAAGCAGCAGGUUAAUACCCCGCUGUUCUGACGGUACCCAAAGAAUAAGCACCGGCUAACUUCGUG